UCAACUUCAGGUUUUGCCCUUCCGGAGGCCUCCGGUGAGCGGCAGAUCUGCUGGUUGGGGUUCCUUUGCGCGGAAGAUCCGGUUGUUUCUUGCCUUCCAGAUGUUCCAUAGGAUGAGACUAAUGAGUUCACGAUCGGGUUUUCCUUCGUUGGGAGGGCAUUUUGGCAUAGACUCCAGAUGAAGAAGCGAACCUUUGGAGGCACAUCAAGACUCCAAAUUUGUGUCCACAAGUCAAUUUGAUUUCAGCCAAACUUGGUGAAUCGAUGUCAAUGUUGCUCGCCAUGACAUUGACUUGAAUGACGUCGACUCGACUAUCAGUCAAACGCUUCCCCCAUUGUCGACCUAAUUCUAUUUGCUUCUUACAGUCAACAUCAGUGUUUGACUGUUCAUUUCAUACAUGGUCUAUAUCACGUCACUUGUAUUGGUCAAUAUAUUGUUUAUCCCUUCUUUAUUGAUACCCAUCAUGUUG